rnacentral:rRNA from 1 species
UACGGGGGGGGCAAGCGUUGUUCGGAAUUACUGGGCGGAAAGGGCUCGUAGGCGGCCAACUAAGUCGGAUGUGAAAUCCCCAGGCUUAACCUGGGAACUGCAUCCGAUACUGGAUGGCUUGAAUCCGGGAGAGGGAUGCAGAAUUCCAGGUGUAGCGGUGAAAUGCGUAGAUAUCGGGAGGAACACCAGUGGCGAAGGCGGCUUCCUGGACCGGUUCUGACACUGAGGAGCGAAAGCGUGGGGAGCGAUCCGG